CGGUAAUUCCAGCUCCAAUAGCGUAUAUUAAAAUGUGUUGCAGGUUAAAACGCUCGUAGUCGGAUUUCUGAAGCCGGCCUUCGGUCCUACCCAGUGUAGAAUACGCGGAGGUCUUGGUUUCAUUUGUUCAGGGAAGGUGUUUGCACUUUGUUGUGUGUCACGUGAUCUGAAUUUUUACUUUGAGGAAAUGAGAGUGUUCCAAGCAGGCUUUUGCCGUGAAUAUGAUAGCAUGGAAUAAUAGCAUAGGACCCCUUUCCAAAGCUGUUGGUUUUUGGAACAGAGGUAAUCAGAAUAAGGAUAGUUGGGGGUAUUCGUAUUUAACUGUCAGAGGUGAAAUUCUUGGAUUUUUUAAAGACGAACUAUUGCGAAGGCAUCUGCCCAGGAUGUUUUUGUUGAUCAAGAACGAAAGUUGGGGGAUCGAAGACGAUCAGAUACCGUCGUAGUCUCAACUAUAAACUAUACCAGCUAGGGAUCGGCCAACGUUUAAUUUAUCGACUUGGUCGGCACCUUAUGAGAAAUCAAAGCAUCUGGGUUCCGGGGGGAGUAUGGUCGCAAGGCUGAAACUUAAAGGAAUUGACGGAAGGGCACCACCAGCCGUGGAGCCUGUGGCUUAAUUUGACUCAACACGGGAAAACUUACCAGGUCCAGACAUAGGAAGGAUUGACAGAUUGAUAGCUCUUUCUUGAUUCUGUGGGUGGUGGUGCAUGGCCGUUUUUAGUCGGUGGAUGUGAUCUGUCUGCUUAAUUGCGUUAACGGACGAGACCCCAGCCUGCUAAAUAGCGCGGCCGAGCUUUGCUCGGUGCGAGCUUCUUAGAGGGACCAUGAUGCGCGAUAGCACAAGGAAGUUUGGGGCAACAACAGGUCUGUGAUGCCCUUAGAUGUUCUGGGCCGCACACGGGCUACACUGGCGCCUGCAACGAGCAUAUCAGCUGGCCCGAGAGGGUCUUGGCUAAUCUUUGGAACCGGCGCCGUGCUUGGGAUUGACCAUUGCAAUUGUUGGUCAUGCAACGAGGAAUGCCUUGUAAACGCGAGUCAUCAGCUCGCAUUGAAUACGUCCCUGCCCUUUGUACACACCGCCCGUCGCUCCUACCGAUGAAUGUUCCGAUGAAAUUUUCGGAGAGCGCCGGAGAACGGGGCUCCGCCCUGCAGAACUGGAGGCUCAAAGUCACUUAAAUCUGAACAUUUCGAGGAAGGAGAAGUCGUAACAAGGUAACC
rnacentral:rRNA from 1 species